rnacentral:rRNA from 1 species
UACGUGGGGGGCAAGCGUUAUUCACCUUAACUGGGCGUAAAGGGUACGUGAGCUGUUUUUUACGUUUAAAUUAAGUAAUCCAAGCUUAACUUUUGAAGUUAAUUUAAAUACGAAAAAACUAGAGUUUUUAAGAAGUAAGUUACAUUUUUAGAGAAAAGGUGAAAUUUAAGAAUACUAAAAAGAUAUCCAUAUGGCGAAAGCUACUUACUAUUAUAUUUCUGACGCUAAGGUACAAAAGCAUGGGGAUCAAAACAGGG